rnacentral:rRNA from 1 species
CCUACGGGGCGCAGCAGUGGGGAAUAUUGGGCAAUGGGCGCAAGCCUGACCCAGCAACGCCGCGUGAAGGAAGAAGGCUUUCGGGUUGUAAACUUCUUUUAUUCGGGACGAAGAAAGUGACGGUACCGAAUGAAUAAGCCACGGCUAACUACGUGCCAGCAGCCGCGGUAAUACGUAGGUGGCAAGCGUUAUCCGGAUUUAUUGGGUGUAAAGGGCGUGUAGGCGGGAAUGCAAGUCAGAUGUGAAAACUCAGGGCUCAACCCUGAGCCUGCAUUUGAAACUGUAUUUCUUGAGUGCUGGAGAGG